AGCAAUCCUGCCAGAAACAUGGCCCACCUGCCCCACCACUGAUCUGGUGACACAUGCAGAGAUCAAUUUUGCAACUUGCAUUUCAACAUUCCUGCUUGAAGUGCGGAUCUCCUGCCCUUCAGCACACAUGGCCAGUCACAUGCCAAGAAUCCUGUAAUUCAUCUAAUAGAGCCAGCUCACCCUCAGAAUCCCUCAAGGGUGACAAU